AAGAUCAUACUUCGCAGGAUCAUUUCUGUAGUAGUAUAUCUUCGGAUCUGCUCUGCGAAAUGCUGAGUUGAUUCAACCACGAUGAUAAAAUGUGUAAUUCUCUUCCUUGAACGUAAGGACGAUUAAUCUUGACUGCUCUCGCAAAACACUCAGACACCAAUUUGCUAAAGCAGUUAAGAUUAAUGAUUACCAAUGAUCGUUUAACUCCUUUCACUCAGUAGGAAGAAUAUUGAAAGUAGA